CCUACAGGUGGCAGCAGUGAGGAAUAUUGGUCAAUGGGCGGGAGCCUGAACCAGCCAAGCCGCGUGAGGGAAGAAGGUACAGCGUAUCGUAAACCUCUUUUGUCAGGGAACAAAGGCGGGGACUAGUCCCCGGAUGAGGGUACCUGAAGAAAAAGCAUCGGCUAACUCCGUGCCAGCAGCCGCGGUAAUACGGAGGAUGCGAGCGUUAUCCGGAUUUAUUGGGGUUAAAGGGUGCGCAGGCGGCCUGUUAAGUCAGCGGUAAAAGCCCGGGGCUCAACCCCGGCGAGCCGUUGAAACUGGCGGGCUGGAGUGCAGGAGAGGUAAGUGGAAUUCCUGGUGUAGCGGUGAAAUGCGUAGAUAUCAGGAGGAACACCGGUGGCGAAGGCGGCCUGCUGGACUGCAACUGACGUUGAGGCCCGAAAGCGUGGGGAGCAAACAGGAUUAGAUACCCCUGUAGUC
rnacentral:rRNA from 1 species